rnacentral:ncRNA from 1 species
UAAUGAGCGGUAACGAAGGAAUAGUAUGCGUGUAUUGAUGUAAAAGAGAGUGAAGUUUAUAAGCUGAAAGACUUCAUUACAUACGAUCCGCAGAACCUACCUUCUGAGCCCUAUGGAAAACCAUAGGCGCAAAUGUUGCGUUAUCAAACAAAGUGGGAUAGUUUUUUACUAUCCAAUUAAGGUGGUACCACGGAUAAACAGCCAUUUCGUCCUUAUA